rnacentral:sRNA from 1 species
AAGAUGGCGACAGCGCAGGGACCCCUAAGCUUGCUGUGGGGCUGGCUGUGGAGCGAGCGCUUCUGGCUACCCGAGAACGUGAGCUGGGCUGAUCUGGAGGGGCCGGCCGACGGCUACGGUUACCCCCGCGGCCGGCACAUCCUCUCGGUGUUCCCGCUGGCGGCGGGCAUCUUCUUCGUGAGGCUGCUCUUCGAGCGAGUUUCGCUCUUGUUGCCCAGGCUGGCGUGCAAUGGCACGAUCUCGGCUUACCGCGACCUCCGCCUCCCCUGUUGAAGCGAUUCUCCUGCCUCAGCCUCCCGAGUAGCUGGAAUUACAGGCAGGCGCCACCACGCCCUGGCUACUUUUUGUAUUUUUAGUAGAGACCGGGUUUCGCCAUGUUGGCCAGGCUGGUCUGUAACUCCUGACCUCAAGUGAUCCGCCCGCCUCUGCCUCCCAAAGUGCUGGGAUUACAGGCGUGAGCCACCGCACCCGGCCUUAAGCCAGCUUCUAAAUGAGUUUAGCAGAAUUGCAAUAUACUUUGUUCAACCACGUGAUUUCACCUUUAAGUGAAUGGAUCAUAUGUUUGUCCAAGAUAAAGAU